rnacentral:rRNA from 1 species
UACGGAGGGGGCAAGCGUUGUUCGGAAUUACUGGGCGUAAAGGGCGCGCAGGCGGCUGCUCAAGUCAGGCGUGAAAGGCCUGGGCUCAACCCGGGAAUUGCGCUUGAGACUGGGCUGGCUUGAGUGCGGGAGAGGAUGGUGGAAUUCCCAGUGUAGAGGUGAAAUUCGUAGAUAUUAGGGAAGAACACCGGUGGCGAAGGCGGCCAUCUGGACCGCAACUGACGCUGAGGUGCGAAAGCGUGGGGAGCAAACAGG